GAUGAACGCUAGCGGCAGGCUUAAUACAUGCAAGUCGUGGGGCAGCAGAACUGUAGCCCUACAGUUGCUGGCGACCGGCAAACGUGAUCGGUACACGUCCGCAACUUACCCUGAACUGGCGGAUAGCCCGGGGAAAUCCGACUUCAUACCCCGUAAUAUAAUGGGGUGGCAUCCCUUUAUUAUUAAAGCUCCGGCGGUUCGGGAUGGGCGUGCGGCUGUUUAGGUAGUUGGUUGAGGUAACGGCUCCCCAAGCCUACGAUCAGUAACUGGUGUGAGAGCACGACCAGUCAGACGGGCACUGAGGCACAGGCCCGAAUCGUACGGGAGGGAGCAGUAAGGUAUAUUGGGCAAUGGAGGCAACUCUGACCCAGCCAUGCCGGGUGGAGGAGUCAGGCCAUCUGGGUUGUAAACUUCUUUUAUAGAAGACGAGUACGGUGUAUUCUUACGCAGUUGACGGUACCAAAAGAAUAAGCACCGGCUAACUUCGUG
rnacentral:rRNA from 1 species